AAUCAACGCUGGCGGCGUGCCUCAGACAUGCAAGUCGAACGAUUAAAGCUCUCUUCGGAGAGUGCAUAGAGUGGCGCACGGGUGAGUAACACGUAAGUAAUCUACCUUCGAGUGGGGAAUAACGUCCGGAAACGGGCGCUAAUACCGCAUAAUGCAGCGGCAUCGCAAGAUGACAGUUGUUAAAGGAGCAAUCCGCUUGAAGAGGAGCUUGCGGCAGAUUAGCUAGUUGGUAGGGUAAUGGCCUACCAAGGCUACGACUCUGUAACCGGUCUUAGAGGACGGUCGGUCACACUGACACUGAAUAACGGGUCAGACUCCUACGGGAGGCAGCAGUCGGGAAUUUUGGGCAAUGGGGAAAACCCUGACCCAGCAACGCCGCGUGAAGGAUGAAGUAUUUCGGUAUGUAAACUUCGAAAGAAUAGGAAGAAUUAAUGACGGUACUAUUUAUAAGGUCCGGCUAACUACGUG
rnacentral:rRNA from 1 species